rnacentral:rRNA from 1 species
UACGUAGGGGGCAAGCGUUAUCCGGAUUUACUGGGUGUAAAGGGAGCGUAGACGGAAGAGCAAGUCUGAUGUGAAAGGCAGGGGCCCAACCCCUGGACUGCAUUGGAAACUGCCCAUCUUGAGUGCCGGAGGGGUAAGCGGAAUUCCUAGUGUAGCGGUGAAAUGCGUAGAUAUUAGGAGGAACACCAGUGGCGAAGGCGGCUUACUGGACGGUAACUGACGUUGAGGCUCGAAAGCGUGGGGAGCAA